AUAAGGUUAAGUGAAUAAGGGCGCACGGUGGAUGCCUUGGCACUAGGAGCCGAUGAAGGACGGGACUAACACCGAUAUGCUUCGGGGAGCUGUAAGUAAGCUUUGAUCCGGAGAUUUCCGAAUGGGGGAACCCAGCAUCUUUUAUAGGAUGUUACUUUUCAGUGAAUACAUAGCUGAUUAGAGGUAGACGCAGAGAACUGAAACAUCUAAGUACCUGCAGGAAGAGAAAGAAAAUUCGAUUCCCUGAGUAGCGGCGAGCGAAACGGGAAAAGCCCAAACCAAGAGGCUUGCCUCUUGGGGUUGUAGGACUCCGAUACGGUAGUCCAGUGAGAUAGUCGAAGGACCUGGAAAGGUCUGCUAGAAAGGGUAAAAGCCCCGUAGACAAAAUUUGACUGGCACCUAGGAGGAUCCUGAGUACGGCGGAACACGAGGAAUUCCGUCGGAAUCCGGGAGGACCAUCUCCCAAGGCUA
rnacentral:rRNA from 1 species